GACGAACGCUGGCGGCGUGCUUAACACAUGCAAGUCGAGCGGUAAGGCCCUUUCGGGGGUACACGAGCGGCGAACGGUGAGUAACACGUGGGUGACCUGCCCUCAGCUCUGGGAUAAGCCUGGGAAACCGGGUCUAAUACUGGAUAUGACUCCAUGACGCAUGUUGUGGGGUGGAAAGCCUUGUGCGGCUGAGGAUGGGCCCGCGGCCUAUCAGCUUGUUGGUGGGGUGAGGCCUACCAAGGCGACGACGGGUAGCCGGCCUGAGAGGGCGACCGGCCACACUGGGACUGAGACACGGCCCAGACUCCUACGGGAGGCAGCAGUGGGGAAUCUUGCGCAAUGGGCAAAGCCUGACGCAGCGACGCCGCGUGAGGGAUGACGG
rnacentral:rRNA from 1 species